GAUUAAGUAUAGUCUGGCCCAGGAGUGUGAAGGUGAACGGAAAGGCUGGAGCAACGAACCGCCCUUGCUGUCUCUGCCUUGCCGGUUCCCCUCUUUCCACUGGGAUUCUCUGCCUCUAACCCUUUUACAGGGGCUGAGUCACUGGCCUACUGGUGUUCUUCCAUGCCGUCCCUGGGAGGGGUGCGUCACUUGAGUGGGUUGAGUCACUGACGUGGUCUUCCUGUCUGGGUUGGCGCCCCCCCUUGGGUUGUGCCAUGGCGGAGAUCGUUGUGGGCUAUACUCGGCCUUGUCUUAGGACGGUAAGUUGGUGGUUGGAGUCAUCCCUCUAGUGGUGUGGGGGCUGUGCUUUGGCAAAGUGGGUGGGGUUAUAUCCUGCCUGUUUGGCCCUGUCCGGGGGUAUCAUCGGAUGGGGCCACAGUGUCUUCUGAUCCCUCCUGUCUCAGCCUCCAGUAUUUAUGCUGCAGUAGUUUAUGUGUCGGGCGGCUAGGGUCAGUCUGUUACAUCUGGAGUAUUUCUCUUGUCUUAUCCGGUGUCCUGUGUGAAUUUAAAUAUGCUCUCUCUAAUUCUCUCUUUCUGUCUUUCUCUCGGAGGACCUGAGCCCUAGGACCAUGCCUCAGGACUACCUGGUAUGAUGACUCCUUGCUGUCCCCAGUCCACCUGGCCGUGCUGCUGCUCCAGUUUCAACUGUUCUGCCUGCGGCUAUGGAACCCUGACCUGUUCACCGGACGUGCUUGUUGCACCCUCGACAACUACUAUGAUUAUUAUUAUUUGACCAUGCUGGUCAUUUAUUAACAUUUUAAUAUUUUAACAUCUUGACCAUGUUCUGUUAUAAUAUCCACCCUGCACAGCCAGAAGAGGACUGGCCACCCCUCAUAGCCUGGUUCCUCUCUAGGUUUCUUCCUAGGUUUUUGGCCUUUCUAGGGAGUUUUUCCUAGGGAGUGUUUCCUAGCCACCGUGCUUCUUUCACAUGCUUUGCUUGCUGUUUGGGGUUUUAGGCUGGGUUUCUGUACAGCACUUUGAGAUAUCAGCUGAUGUACGAAGGGCUAUAUAAAAAUAAAUUUGAUUGAUUUGAUUUGAUUGAGACCGGUGUGUCUGUUGUCCCUUGUGUCUGUGCUUUUGUAGAAUACUGGUUGCGGGGUGGAGAUGUAGUUAAUUAUUCCUUGCCCACAAACUUUCGACCACCCAUUAGAGAUGAUUGCGAUACAGUCUGCUUUCUCUAUGAUUUGCUUAAAAUCUGCAUCCAGCAAAUGAGUAGAUAUAGCAUGGCUGGGUGGAGGGGUGUAUGCUCGGCGAAGAACAUUCAGAAAUCUCUUCCAAUACACAUUGCCUGUGAGCAUUAGAGGUGAACCAGUUGCAUAUACAGCUCGAGCAAGACAUUCAUCGUCAUUUCUCUGACUACGUUCCUCCAUUGAGUCAAAAAAACUUCUGAUUCCAGGAGGACCAUGAGCUGUUGCUAUCGAUAAGGUGUCUGAUUCAUCAUUUUC
rnacentral:lncRNA from 1 species